GAUGAACGCUAGCGGGAGGCCUAACACAUGCAAGCCGAGCGGUAUUUCUUUUUCUGAAGAGAGAGAGCGGCGUACGCGUGCGGAUCACGUGUGCAACCUGGCUUUAUCUAGAAGAUAGCCUAUCGAAAGGAAGAUUAAUACUCUAUAAUAUAUUAAUUGGCAUCAAUUGAUAUUGAAAACUACGGUGGAUAGAGAUGGACACGCGCAAGAAUAGAUAGGUGGUGAGGUAACGGCUCACCAAGGCAAUGAUCUAUAGGGGGCCUGAGAGGGUGAUCCCCCACACUGGUAAUGAGACACAGACCAGACUCCUAAGGGAGGCAGCAGUGAGGAAUGUCGGUCAAUGGGUGCAAGCCUGAACCAGCCAUCACGCGUGAAGGAUUAAGGUCCUAUGGAUUGUAAACUUCUUUUGUAUAGGGAUAAACCUACCCUCGUGAGGGUAGCUGAAGGUACUAUACGAAGAAGCACCGGCUAACUCCGUGCCAGCCGCCGCUGUAACAC
rnacentral:rRNA from 1 species